rnacentral:rRNA from 1 species
GAUGAACGCUGGCGGCGUGCCUAAUACAUGCAAGUCGAGCGAACAGACGAGGAGCUUGCUCCUCUGACGUUAGCGGCGGACGGGUGAGAAACACGUGGAUAACCUACCUAUAAGACUGGGAUAACUUCGGGAAACCGGAGCUAAUACCGGAUAAUAUAUUGAACCGCAUGGUUCAAUAGUGAAAGACGGUUUUGCUGUCACUUAUAGAUGGAUCCGCGCCGCAUUAGCUAGUUGGUAAGGUAACGGCUUACCAAGGCAACGAUGCGUAGCCGACCUGAGAGGGUGAUCGGCCACACUGGAACUGAGACACGGACCAGACUCCUACGGGAGGCAGCAGUAGGGAAUCUUCCGCAAUGGGCGAAAGCCUGACGGAGCAACGCCGCGUGAGUGAUGAAGGUCUUCGGAUCGUAAAACUCUGUUAUUAGGGAAGAACAAAUGUGUAAGUAACUAUGCACGUCUUGACGGUACCUAAUCAGAAAGCCACGGCUAACUACGUG